rnacentral:lncRNA from 1 species
UCAAGUUUAAAUAGAUCUGGGAUUAUAAAGGCAGCUACAGAGAUGUUUAGCAAGUAAGCAUUUGGGUUUCAACCCAAAUAAUUUCAGAGCUUUCACUCAACUCCACAAACAAUCAGAGAAAAAAUAUCAUUAUGAAGAAGGUUUAUUAGUACAAUAUUGCAAGAGAGUAACAAAACAGUAGAUAGUACUAACGAAAUGCCAGAAAAUUCAGAGAAGCAGUUCCAUGACACCAUUCAUUGAAUAACAAAUGAAAACUUAAAACAAGUUCAAAGCUAAUAGGCUGGAGCAAUAGACACAACACUAAUCAGGAACAAACAUCAUAUCUCAUUUAUGAACAUCAACAUGAAUGAUCCUAGAUGAAGAACUACAUACCUAUAGCAUCAAAAACCAAAGGGAAACAAAAUAAAACUCUGCCUGAAGCUAGAAAGGAAACAACAACAAGAACUAGCAACACAACGCAAGCACCACAACAGGAAAUCGGCCAAAACCAAAGAACAACAGCUGACUUGAACUCUCCCAAAAUCAAAAUAAACAGUACUAGAGUGAACCAGUAUAGAAACUUUUCAAAAGUUGAUUUUUGAGAGCAAGAAAAUGUAGGGAGAUUUUUCUUUUUUUCUAAUGUGUAUUCAAAGAAUUCUUUUUAGGUUAAUAUGCUAAUGAAUGUGU